rnacentral:misc_RNA from 1 species
UCAUGCACAAAUGGGGAUCUUUUGAAUUGUUUUAUCAACAAGGAAACAAGUAUAAUUGGCUUCUGAUUUUCGAAGCAAACGAUCUUUAACCAGAAAGUUAAGAGAGCAUAGAUGGCAGAACCUCUCUACUUCCGCCCAGGAAAAGGGGAAAGAAGAUAAAGCUUUCGACUUUGAGCAAGUGGAAAAUAUCUAAAAAACUCCAUAAUUAUUCAUCAAAGCAAUAUACAGGACAACCGCUAAAUAAAGCAUCUCUUUACUUAUUAAUCUUCUCAAACAAGACUUAUAAUAGCUCAAUUUAAGAUAA